ACGAACGCUCGCGGCGUGCCUAAGAAAUGCAAGUCGAACGGGGGUAGCAAUACCCCAGUGGCGAACGGUCGCGUAACACGUAAGCAACCUGCCCUGGAGUGGGGGAUAACGACCCGAAAGGGUCGCUAAUACCGCAUGCGGUCAAGUCACGGCAUCGUGGCUUGUCCAAAGAUUUAUCGCUUUGGGAUGGGCUUGCGGCCUAUCAGGUAGUUGGCGGGGUAACGGCCCACCAAGCCGACGACGGGUAGCUGGUCUGAGAGGACGAUCAGCCGGAUUGGGACUGAGAUACGGCCCAGACUCCUACGGGGAGCAGCAAUUAGGAAUCUUGCGCAAUGGGCGAAAGCCUGACGCAGCGACGCCGCGUGGGGGACGAAGGGUCUCGGCCUGUAAACCCCUUUUGACAGGGAAGAAGGAUGUGACGGUACCUGUCGAAUCAGCCCCGGCUAACUACGUGCCAGCAGCCGCGGUAAUACGUAGGGGGCGAGCGUUGUCCGAAUUUACUGGGCGUAAAGCGCGCGUAGGCGGCUAUUUAAGUCCGGGGUGAAAGGUUCAGCGCUCAACGCGAACAGUGCCCUGGAGACUGGGUGGCUUGAGUCCGGCAGGGGGUGGCGGAAUUCCUGGUGUAGCGGUGAAAUGCGUAGAUAUCAGGAGGAACACCGGUGGCGAAGGCGGCCACCUGGGCUAGGACUGACGCUGAGGCACGAAAGCGUGGGGAGCGAACGGGAUUAGAUACCACGGUAGUCCACGCCGUAAACGAUGAGUGCUAGGUGUCGGGGGUAUCGACCCCCCCGGUGCCGUCGCCAACGCAUUAAGCACUCCGCCUGGGGAGUACGGCCGCAAGGUUGAAACUCAAAGGAAUUGACGGGGGCCCGCACAAGCGGUGGAGCAUGUGGAUUAAUUCGUCACUAACCGAAGAACCUUACCCAGGUUUGACAUCUGAGGCACCGGGGUGAAAGCCUCGUCCCCUUCGGGGGCCUCAAGACAGGUGUUGCAUGGCUGUCGUCAGCUCGUGUCGUGAGAUGUUGGGUUAAGUCCCGCAACGAGCGCAACCCUCAUCCCUGAUGUUGGCCAGCGAGUAAAGUCGGGAACUCUAGGGAACUGCCCGUGUAACUCGGGAGGAAGGUGAGGGAUGACGUCAAGUCAGGCAUGGCCCUUACAGCCUGGGCUACAACAUGCUACAAUGGACGGUAGACAGACCGAGCCGAUGGGCGAGCCCGGAGGCAAUCGGACAAAGCCGUUCCUCAGUUCGGAUCGCAGGCUGCAACUCGCCUGCAUGAAGUCGGAAUCGCUAGUAACCGCAGGAUCAGCGCAAGCUGCGGUGAAUACGUUCCCGGGCCUUGUACACACCGCCCGUCACGUCACCUGAAUUGUCUGCACCCGAAGCCGGUGGCCUAACCCUCGUAAGGGGAGGCCAGCCGUCUAAGGUGUGGGGAGCUAAGGGGGACU
rnacentral:rRNA from 1 species